GCCGGGCACACCCUAAGGGCAGAAGGAAAAGACGAUGUGUUACCAAGGGCAUGUCAGCAGAUGCAGUGGAGCCCUGGAGAGACAGAUGUGAAGGACAGCCAAGACCCAGCCUCCAGGGUGUGCACAGUGGCUGUGCCAUGCCUGGAAGUCAUAUGUGGGUCCUGAACACACACUUGAUGGAGGAGGGGUCAGGCUGGAUAUGGAGUUUUGGACCGACCUUCAAACUAUAGAGGCAUUUCUCUCCUUUGGCAACAAGGGCUGGGUUGUGGACAUCCCCAAGGGGAGAGAGAAGAAGGAAAAAAUAAAGGGGCAAAGGAGAGAGGAGGAAGAGAUCAAGCGAAGCAAGUUCUCAGAUAUCCUGCAGGUCUCAGUUGUUCUGCUCUAAAGUCCCUGUGGCCUGGGGGCCUCCGGGGGCCUGGACCACUGCUCUGCUGUGUGAGUGGUCAGAUAUCCUGCAGGUCUCAGAUGUUCUGCUCUGAAGUCCCUGUGGCCUGGGGACCUCCCAGGGCCUGGAUCACCCGCUCUGCUGUGUGAGUGGUAAGGUAGCCCUGGGUGGCAAAUUCAUUCCCAGCUGUAGCAGGGUGGGCACGGCUCAUAGCCAGGACUGGAAGAAGCCCGGUCAGGGAGUGGCUGGCACAGAAGACAUCUCACUCAGCUACCCACUGCUGUAGAAGCUCUCACUGGACUUGCAAAGAACAUAAGGAUGCUUCUUAACUUCCUCUCUAAGCCAUUUCAUAUGACUGGCAUCAUCUCAACUCCUUCCUACCCUCCUGCUUCCUGACACACAAAUUGUUAGCUUCAGACACUGUGGUAGUGGAAGGAAUUUGUGUUAUACAGCUCUAUUGUCAGGAAAAGGCCUGAUAACCAUUCAAAGCAGAGUCCUCCAAGCCUAGAAUUAAAUAAACCUCCAAGUGGAUGCCUCAUAUCAAUCAGCAAUCAAGCCAUUGACAGAAUGGUACCGUGUGUGUGUGUGUGUGUGUGUGUGUGUGUGUGUGUGUGUGUGUUAUUUCCCCACAUGAGCAUGCUUGCUUACUUCACAAAUGUAUUUUAAGUGGCAUAUCUUAAAAAUUUUUAAAUAUUUCCUACUUUCCUCAAAAUACCAUUUAAAAGGAAAUGGAUAAAACCUGAAGUUUAGGUUUUCCAAGUUUGGAGGCGCUGAGGCCAUCCACAGCCAGCUGACCUUCAGUGUGGAAUUCCCACAGGUCAGGGGAUUGCUGGGGCAUGAGUCAGGCAUCUUACCUUCUGUCCUCGGUAGCCCUUGGGUCCAUGGGGCCCAGGAAUCUCCAGGCAGCUCACUUUGUAGCACUGAAAUGAGGUGGACAGAGAGCAGGUCAGGUUGGUAGGACAAGUCCCCAGUUGGGUAUGGACUGGGGAUAGGCAUAACCUUGGACUCUCAGAGGAAGUCCCCAAACACCCAUAGAGACAAUCAGAAUGGAAUGAAGGGACAGACACAUAGGGUACCAGACAGGUGGGGGCCAGUGCUUAGUCAAAUCAUCUAGCCAGGUUUUGGGUAAGCGAGCCUGAGAUAGUGACAGAGAGUAGCAAGGACCGAAGAGCUCUGGUCACGGCUAGGCACCAUCUGUAUACGGGGACCAAUUUGCCAUAUUUGAAAGUAGCUGCUCUAGAACGUCAUGUUUCUACAGAAGGAGCAGGGCGGGACUUUGGGUACCCAAGGCUGUAGGACCCUAAAACAGGUACAUGGCUUGCAGUCUGGGUUGGAUUAAAGCCCCUCAGCUUCUACAGAAGUCAUGUGUUUGGUAGAUAACAGUUCCAGCUCCCAGGGGACUAAACAGCCUGGGUUUGACUGGUGAUGGACUAGGGCUUCAUGCCAGCUCAAGAGUGUCAGGCCUGACAGAGCAGGUGGACCUUGGUCCUUCUGCUUCUCUGGUCUGCUCGAGGCCCUGGGAAGCCAGGAGUGAGGCGUUGGUCCUCUGCUGGGUCAGCAGUCUUGGUUGCCAACAGGUAGCAUAGGCUGGGCUGUAGUGACAGGGCAACUCACCUCUCCGUAGGCUUCAUGUUUCUGCAGAAAAGACAGAGACCAGAUUAGCCUGAGCCUGGGGAUGUGUGUGACACUUCUUGAGUCUGGGUGGGGAUCGUGGGUAUGAGAGGACUUGACCCUAACCUCCCUCAACUGCCUUACUCACAGUGGGAUACACUGAACUCUGACUGUUGCCUCACUGGUGAGUGGACCACAUCCCUAAGCUCUGCCCUAGCCACAGCUGCUCACCAUGACCUUGAUGAUGCGGUUGAUGGUGUCCUGGUCAAUCUCAGUAGAGUCAGGCCUCAUGGUGGCAUAGUUGUUGCGGUAGAGCUCAUGUGGGGUGUUAGCGAUGUCCCUUAGGCCUUGUUCAUUUAGGUUCCUGUUAGGGGCCACAGCAAAGAGCCGGAUCCCCUCCUCACGGGCGCGCUCAGCCUGCAUUUUAAUGCCUCCACACGGAUUGCCUGUGACGUGGCCGUCGGUGAUGACCACAGCAAAGUUGACCACACCUCGGCCUACAUGCUGCCGGAUCUGCUGGGUCAUGUUGGCCAGGGCACAGUCAGUAAAGGUGCCUCUGCGGAAGGAGCGGAUGCCUUGGAGGCUCUUUGUGAAGGAGGCCCGGUCGCUGCUUGGUGGACUGAACACCUCCACCUGGUCCGAGAAGUGCAGACCACCGUAACGCCAGCUCAGCGCCACCUGGUCCAGGUAAAAUUCAUUCUGCAGCUGGCUGAUGAACUGAGGUACGAACUGCUGCAUGUGAUAAAGCAGGCUGUCUGUGGGGGACUGCAUGGCCACGCUCUCCGAGGUGUCCAACACGAAGUACACAUUGACUGGGCAGUCAGCCUUCUCUGGGGUGGGGUGACAACAUUGAACCCGUCAGGACUUGCCAAGUGGGGGCUAUAAUGUGAGUCCACCCUCACCCUAUGAAUACCACUUCUCUCCCAGGACUCCAGAGCCCCACCCAGGUACCUGGACAGUUGUUGUUCCUGUCAAUGGUGGAGGGGUCAGGUGAGAUGACUUCCUGCUGCUGAGCAUGGAGGACUCCUAAGAGCCCCCCAAGCAGGAACACAGAAAAAGAACCCUGGAACAUCUUGAUAGUAGUCAUGUGCCCUGAUGUCCUGCAAUAAAAGCAGGGACCAUGACAGACACCCCCACAAAUAUAUUGCUGCCCUCCCAGGGUAGGAUGCACAUAGCUGGCAAUUCCUUGAGGAAACAGGGGCCUCCGUGACCCAGGUUGUUGCCCCCACCCACAGGGAAGUUGUGCCUCUCCAAUUCUCUGUUGGCUGCAGGGCUCAGUUCUAGGCUGGACUCAGACAUUCAGCCCUUCCCUGAUCUCUGGGGCCAGAGUACACACAGAAGGGCCCAUUUGAAUGGGUUGGAAACACCAGGGAACAGUGUCUCUUUAUAUACUCCACUCCAGGGCCUGCACUGGGAAAAGGAGGAGCGGGAAACAGGCCCACUUUACUCAGUGGGCAGGUCGCAGCCUCAGUGUGGGACCCUGGGCAUAUCCGUCUCCCUAUAGCCUGAUCCCCCCUCACAUGGGGCAUUGGCAUGACUGAGUGGGGCCAGGGUCAGUCACACAUCGAUUUUUAGUAUGACUUUCCACCAGGUGCCAGCAGGCUGAGGGCAUCUUCUUCCCCUCUGUGGGCGCAGUAAGACCACUGGAGAAGAAGCAACACAGACUCUCUGGAGCAGAGGUGGCUGUGCUCCUGGAGAGACGCUGUCCCAACUUGUUAUCUGGGAAAUUUCUUUGAUCAGAGAAGUACUCGAGAUUUCAGAUGUUACAGUAUUUUAGUUGAAAAAUAAGUAGAAUCAUUGAACAGCAUACUUGAUACUAAGGAUGGGAGGUAUCAGGUAUGACACACACUUGUAAUCCCAGCAUUUGGGAGUCCAAGACAGAAGCUAUGAGCUCAAGACCAGCUAGGCUACAUAACAUGAUCCUAUCUCAGAAAGAAAUGAAAUAGACUACACACAAGUGUGGUAGUUUGAAUGUAACUGAUACCCAUAAGCUCAUAGGAAGUGGCAUUAUUAGGAAGUGUGGCUUUGUUGGAGUAGUUAUGACCUUGUUGGAGGAAGUGUGUCACUGUGGGGGUGGGCCUUGAGGUCUUCUAUGCUCAAGCUAUGCCCAGUGCCACAGUCCACUUCCUGUUGCCUGCAGAUCAAGACGUAGAACUUAGGCUCCUUCUCCAGCACCAGGUCAGCCUGCACACCACCAUGUCCCACCAAGAGGAUAAUGGACUGAACUUCUGAAACUACUCAAACUUCGUUAAGAACUCUACCAGUAAACUUACCAAGGCUCCUCUGUGUUGGACAAGGCAUUGUUUUUUACUGCCUUCAAGAAAUCAUGCUGUCCCCACAUCUUAACCCAGUGCUUUGGGCUGUGAACAGUCUGUCUACACUGCAUCCAGACACCCCAGAACCCCUGUUAGCUGAGACUGGUACCUGGUCCCUCUAUGUCACUGGCUCCAUGUCCUCAGGGGGAUGGUAGGACUGAGCAACACAGAUACACUUGGUCGUCUGGUAGACCAAAGAAUGACUGAAACAAGACAUGCAUGCCCUGUGAGGAAUAACCGGAUGUGUUUGCCUAUUGAGCACACUGUCAUGACCUGAAGGACAAACUUCUCCCCCUUCUGUUUUACUGUCUUCAAAGGAAGAAAACAGCGGUCAUCCUUAACUAACGCUUACAAUCUGAAGGCCUGC